rnacentral:rRNA from 1 species
UACAGAGGUCCCAAGCGUUUGUUCGGAUUCAUUGGGCGUAAAGGGUGCGUAGGCGGCGCGGUAAGUCGGGUGUGAAUCUCGGGGCUUAACUCCGAAACUGCAUUCGAUACUGCCGUGCUUGAGGACUGGAGAGGAGACUGGAAUUUACGGUGUAGCGGUGAAAUGCGUAGAUAUCGUAAGGAAGACCAGUGGCGAAGGCGGGUCUCUGGACAAGUUCCUGACGCUGAGGCACGAAGGCCAGGGGAGGCGAAACGGG